rnacentral:lncRNA from 1 species
AAAAAGAGAAAAAGAACUCAAAAUGUUCAAAACUCAAAAAUUAAAUCUUUUCCCGCUUAUACCCCACACCAUACGUCCAUACCCCAAAAUCUUCUCUUCUCCUCCUUCCACAUCCCUCGUUUCAAGUUUCACUCCUUUUUCCCAAAUCACACUAAAAACCCUAAUUACUAACUCUCAUUCUCAUUUUCAUGUCCACUCGCCGGAUCAAAGACCGUGACGGCGGAGACCCCACCGCCGCCACCCUCCGCCGCUCAUCCAGGUCCGUAACUCCACCGCUCUCCGCCUCUCGCAAUGCCCGUUCCCAUGAUGCCUCGGCUACGACCAAGCUUUCUUCCUCCUUGGGUUUGGAACAGGGAAGAGUAUCGACGGUUGGAACAUGAGUCUUUCUCCAUUUUUGUGGAUCACCUUCCAGAAGACAUUUCAAAGAGGGACCUGUUUCACUUGUUUAACUGGACUGGGCGCAUCAACGAUAUCUAUCUAUCCCGGAAAUAUAAGAAUGGUGGCAUCUAUAUGUUUGCGUUUAUAUGGUACACGACGAGAGGUGGAUGAUAUGGUAAGUAAUGGAGUUUAUGAUGGGACUAUCGAGGCCAGAAGGAAGGCAUUAGUCACUGAUGCUCGCUCGAGGGUUACGUCGGAAUAGAUUUUCUCAAUAAAGUCCCGUUGCAAGUAUAGCUCUACCAACAACAAUCCUCGAGGAUCAAAUUUAGAAGGGAUUUGGUUGUCACAAGUUCAACCCCAAUAAAAGUAACCGAAGUAUUCAAACCUCGGGUCGUCUCACAAGGAAUGGGCAAACAUGUGCUUCAAUAUUGGUUAGAAUUCCGGGGUUGUGAUUUAUGAGCAAGAAAAUAAAAUAGGAAUCUUAACAAGCAAGUAAUCUUAAAAUGCAAGGAACUAUUCAAAUAACUAAGCAAGAUGUGAGCAAUUCCAAACUAACAGGAUAACAUUCAAUAUAAUUCAACUCUAAAACUAAACAAUAACUAUGACUAAGACAAGACAAUUAGAAUUUGGGUUUUCAAAUAUGAAUGACAAAAAUAACUCUUGGCUAGACAUGGGAAUUGGGGUUACUAUCCUUGUCUAAUAACCAUAUCUUGACAAUUAUGAGGAACCAAACUCAUUAAGUCUACUUCUAUACUUGAAGUAUGUUAAAUGGUUUGGUCAACAUCAACCCAUAAGGUCUAACCUCACUACUAAUUGACUUAGUAGUAGGUUAGUGUCAAUGGCUAUCAAAUUGACCACUAAGGGUUCCCAAAUCAUCAAAUCCAUUAGACCCAAUGACUCAAGUUUACCCAAUUCCCUUAGCCUAGGCCAAGAGUAAAGAGAACUACUCCAUAAUCAAAGUAAACAAUUCAUCAAACACAUAGUAAGCAUUAAUAAAAGACAUGUUCAAAUUGCAAUUAAAUUAAGAUUAACAAAUACCCACUAACAAUUAUCAACAUACAAUCACUCAAACAACACGAUUAAUCAUAGAAAUCAUCAAUGUAACAUUGGCAAGUCAAGAUUCACAACAUUCAUGCAAUGGGUAUAAAGUGACAAUUGACAAGAAUUCAUGAAACUAACACAAGAUCUAAGUAAAAUUAUACCAAGGAAUUCAAAUUAAACAAUCAAAACUAGUAAUUAACAAGAUCCAAUUCAGAAUUCAACAAGGGAAUAUCAAAUUAAAGCUAGAUCUAGCGAGGAACAAGGGUUUCUCUCUCUAGAAGAACAAGAACAAAAAACUAGCUAAAAAUUGUGUCUAAGUGUAAAAUGAUUGAUCCCCCCUUUCUCCUAGCAUCCUUGGGUCUUUUCCAUGCAGAAACAGCUUGAAUUUGGGCCUGAUGAGCCUAAAAAAUCGCCAGGCACGAUUUCCUUUGAUGAGGUCACGUGCAGCCUUCCGCACGUGCGCGCCAUGCGUGCGUGCGCGCCAAUUGCUUUUGUGAUCCACGCGUGCGCGCUAGGUGCGCGUGCACGUCGGUGGGAAUUCUCUGACCCGCGCGGAUGCGUCCAUCCUUGCGCGCCGCUUCCAGCUAUCCUCAUGUACACUGCGCAUGGAGUGCGCGUGCGCGCCCAUGCUGAGUUUUCCAAAAUUCAAAUCUUCAUGUUCCUUCCUCUUGUGCAUGCUUUCUUUCUUUCUUUUAGGCCAUUCUUGCCCUAUUGAUUCUGAAAUCACUCAACAAACACAUCACGACAUCGAAUGGUAAUAGAAGAGGAUUAAAAUAUAGCAAUUUUAAGGCAAAAUAAGCAUGUUUUUCAUCAUGAAGCAAUAUUAGGAAGAAAACACAAAACCAUGCAAUUCUUGUGAAUAAGUGUGAGAAAUAUUGACAAAACCCCCCAAAUUCUACACAAUAUAAACAACAAAAUUAGGGUUUAUCAAAUCUCCCCACACUUAAACCAAGCAUGUCCUCAUGCUUAAAAUAAAAAGACCAAAGAUCAUGGUAAGAAAGGUGUUCAUACCCUGAGUCGAGUUAUCCGACCUGGGAUGAUUGACGACAAAGCAACUGACCUCUUCAGGUCGAGCGGACCGACUUCUUCUUAAAGAACUCGGCCAAAUCGACAGGAAAGCCCAUAAAGGGCCCAAGUAGAGGAACACGACCCAAAUCCAAAGGCCGUCCGAGCCUAUAGAGAUAAGGGCGGUUCCCUUGAAGAUAAGCUGACCUCAACUCAAAGAUAAAGAUAAGAUAAGAUAACUAACUUAUCUUAUCUAGAAAGGUCACUCUACAACUACUAUAAAUACACUGGAGCACCCAAGUAUAACUCAUACUCUGAUUCUACUAAAGACCUGUUUAACACCCAUGCUAACUUAAGCAUCGGAGUCUCUUGCAGGUACCCCCCACCCUCCGGUGACCAAAGAUCAGCAGUGCGUCCAGUCCAACAAGUCAGACACAACAGCUCCGACCAGCACAGAAGAUCUCAUCCGAGAUCGACCUACAGUUUCAGGUAACCCUCGGAACAUUGGCGCCGUUGCCGGGGACCUGGAAGUGAUCCCAUCACCAUGGCGGACAACCAUGACAACGACCACGAUUCAGGUCUGGAAGAAAGAACACCGCACAAGAACGCGGAUGUCACGCUACAAGAUACUCCGGAAACCAACAAGGACAAAGACUCGCCAAAUCCAGGGGCAAUAGAAGCGCUCCUAGAUCGCCUAAAACAACUGGAAAAAGAAACUCAACAACAACGAGAAAUCGGAAGGGAUCUACAAAGAGAGGUACGGCGACGUCGGGAGUUGGAAGAAAAACUACAGCAAUUAGAAGCCGAUCUCAAAUCAAAAGCCCCUCGGGCCAAUCUCGAAGAAAAUUCACGCAAAGAGCAAGACCCGUUCACCAGGGAAAUCAUGAAAACCAAAAUUCCAAAAGACUUCAAACUCCCGGAUAUGACCCUGUACGAUGGCACCACGGAUCCCAACCACCACCUCAGUAA